UUGCUCACUUCGACGGCACAUCCACUAAAGUUGGAAUGAUACAGAGAAGAUUAGCACGACCCCUGUGCAACAAUGACAUGGGAACUUGUGAAGCAUUUUGUAUUUUU
ensembl:snRNA U6 U6 spliceosomal RNA